UAGUCCCUUCAUUGAUUUGUUCCUAAUACCGUCGUUAUUAGGUCUCCUUAAAGACGAAGGAGUCCAUUACCUUCAUUGAUGGGAUUCCUAAUCAUAAUUAGAUUAAAAUUAACCUAUUGCUAUUAACAAAUCCCACAUUAAAACCCGAAGCCCCAAUUUUACAAACCCCUUAACGCCUAAUCAUCCUACACGCCCAAGAGAGGGAAAAUCCCCCCCAUUUAUUUUCGCCAAAAACUAAAAAAACCAACGAAAACCCCCCAAAUUAACCCCCAUUCUCUCUCUCUCUCUCUCUCUCUCGUCAAAAUACCCCAAACCCCCGUGCGCCUUCUCUCCUCCCCUCCCGCUCAAACCAACUCUGAACUCGCCGCCUGCCGUCCGGAGUUCGCCGACACGUCGACCCCAGCAGUUUGCGCCGAGCCCCCCCUCAAAAACCCUAGUUCUUCCUCCCCAAAUCGGACCUCGCCGCCACUCCUGUUCCUGAUUUUCGCCGGACGCCUGACUUUUUGCCGCCGGUCCCCUCAAAAACCCUAGUUCUUCCUCCCCAAAGCGCCUCGCCGCCCUCCUGCUCCUGAUUUUCGCCGGAUGUCUGACUUGUCAGAUGGUAAAGAUGGAAUGAAGAGAUUCAAGUCUUGAUUUUUAAAAUUAAUCUGUCUUCUUUGAGGAUCGGAGGAAAAAUCCAUCAUUUAAGCGGAGGGCUUCCAUUGUCCAGACGGCAACCCCCAAGAAACCUCUAUUUUUAUCUCAUUAUUACUUCAUGCUCUCCUGAAUGCUUGAGUUUUGAAGGCCGCCUUCCUGAUAUUACUAAAAGGGUAUAAAUUUCAAAAUACAGCCUCCUGAAGUUUCUCAUUAUUUAGUCUUAACAAAAGAAAUAACCUUUUUUUCUUAAAUAAUUCAUGUUUAUGAUCACCUUCGAGAUGUUAUUGGGCACGUGGGUCUUAGUGAUCAGGACAUCGUUGCUCUUUCUGGUGGUGACGCGCUGGUUGGCGAUUUUAUAACGCUAGCAUUUAUCUGCAUUGUUUACUACCAUGUUUUUGCUACUGUUCUACUAAGGUUGGUUGGUGAAUUUUACAGGUAAGAUGCAGCAAGGAGAGAUCAGGGUUUGUGGGAGCUUGGACUUCAAAUAUCAUCAAUUUUUUUGGCAUUCAACAUAUAUGUGACUUUGUGGAUAUGAGAUAUUUUACUUAAAGACAGACCUAGUCUGAGAUCUUAUAGCCCACUCUAUUUUUGUUACAUCUCUUAUUUUUAGUUGCAAGCUAGUUUAAGGUGUCUUAGUUGAUGUGUUUGCAUGAAGUUAGAUUUGUUUAUACACUUUAUAUAUGUGACUUUGUAGAGAACUUCCGAGCACUUUGCACUGGUACGUCAGAAUCAUACUAUGAUUAAUCUGUUUGGUUUAAUUUAUGCUUACAACUUCUGCAAUCUUAAGAUUUGUUCCUUGGCAUAUACAGUUCAUUGAGUUUCUCCUAAGUAAUUCUUUAAUUUUCAUUAAGAGAUAUUAUGCCAUAAUCAAUAAUUUGUUGUUUAGGAUCAUCGAGUGGUGGGAAAAUAAAGACUGAAAUGGUAUGAUCACUCUUUACUGUUAUCCAUUUGAGACUUUGGACGCAAUCAAUCUUGUCUAUACCUUAAGACUGAAAUUGUAGGUCACUUGAAUGUCGUAUUUGUAAGCUAAGCAUGUUACAAGAGUUGAUUUGUGCAGGUUUUGGUCGCAUUGGGAGGUUGGUCUUGCGCAUAGCCACGUAUGGGUCUCAACAAGCAGACCAAGACUGCCACUGUCGCCAUUGUGUAAUUUUAUCCACACUACAGGCCAGUCUUCUCCAUCGCAAGCAUAUAGACGGGAUUGAAGAUCUUGACAAGGAGCUGCAGUAUUUGAAGAAAGCUUUGAGGCUGGAGUCCAAAUUGUUGAUCCUGUGGUCGAUGUGUUCAAUGGACAAGAGAUGCCUUUGAAAGCGACAGAGAGGGAUGUUUAUGAAUUCUUCUCGAAAGCAGGGAAGGUUUAGCUUCUUGUAUUGACAUUACACAUCCAUCUGAGAAGAGUGUUCUGAUAUUUACAUGUAUCAUGCAACCACAGUAAAUGCUUCUGUGCCUUCAAUGAGGCCUAUUAUAAUGACUUUUUUGUGGCUCAACAUUCUUUUAUUUGGUUAGAGACGUGCGGCUGAUCAUGGAUCGGAACUCGAGACGAUCGAUCAAAAGGAGUUGGGAUAUGAAAUAUGAGCAGGAGCAACAACAACAUCAACAAUAACAAAUGAUGUCUGACUUAGAGUCACAAGUGAAAGCUAUGCAGGAAUUUUUUUUAGGCAGUCAUCUUCAUUGACUCCACAAACUCGAGAACAUGUGCAAGACUAAGUUAUCCAUGCAGGAUUAGGAGAGGGGUAGCUCGAGUCUUCUUUUGACGAUGAUUAGAAAUGAAACGAUGUGUCUUUCCCAGACUUCUAUUUUAAUUUGUUUUAGAUAGCUUCACGUAUUUUCCUUUAGAAUAAUUGGGAUAUUAACACUUGUUAUUAGUGUUGAAUAUUUGAGGAUGAUGGAAUUUUAUUUAUUGAUGUUAUUAAUGAAUGGAGUUUUUUAUUUCUCUUUUA